rnacentral:rRNA from 1 species
UGUGACCAUACCAAACUGUUGCCUCGGCGGGGUCACGCCCCGGGUGCGUCGCAGCCCCGGAACCAGGCGCCCGCCGGAGGGACCAACCAAACUCUUUUCUGUAGUCCCCUCGCGGACGUUAUUUCUUACAGCUCUGAGCAAAAAUUCAAAAUGAAUCAAAACUUUCAACAACGGAUCUCUUGGUUCUGGCAUCGAUGAAGAACGCAGCGAAAUGCGAUAAGUAAUGUGAAUUGCAGAAUUCAGUGAAUCAUCGAAUCUUUGAACGCACAUUGCGCCCGCCAGUAUUCUGGCGGGCAUGCCUGUCCGAGCGUCAUUUCAACCCUCGAACCCCUCCGGGGGGUCGGCGUUGGGGAUCGGGAACCCCUAAGACGGGAUCCCGGCCCCGAAAUACAGUGGCGGUCUCGCCGCAGCCUCUCCUGCGCAGUAGUUUGCACAACUCGCACCGGGAGCGCGGCGCGUCCACGUCCGUAAAACACCCAACUUCUGAAAUGUUGACCUCGGAUCAGGUAGGAAUACCCGCUGAACUUAAGCAUAUCAAUAAGCGGAGGA